GCCGGUGGGGGGGGGGCUACCAUGCGAGUCGACGGGCCUGUCUUCUUUUUUGGGGGUGGGUUGAGUGGCGAACGGGUGAGUAUCACGUGAGUAACCUGCCCUUCGGUCCUGGAUAACCGCUUGAAAGGGCGGCUAAUACGGGGUGGUCCGGUUGGUCCGCAUGGGCUGGUCGGGAUAGAUUCACUGUUUUUGGUGUUUCGGCGGGGGAUGGGCUCGCGGCCUAUCAGCUUGUUGGUGGGGUGAUGGCCUACCAAGGCGGUGACAGGUAGCCGUGCUGAGAGGGUGGGCGGCCACACUGGGACUGAGAUACGGCCCAGACUCCUGCGGGAGGCAGCAGUGGGGGGUAUUGCACAAUGGGCGAAAGCCUGAUGCAGCGACGUCGCGUGAGGGAUGGAGGCCUUCGGGUUGUGAACCUCUGUUUCCGGUGGUGAAGGCCCUGUCCGUGUGGUGGUUUUGACGUUAGCCGGGGAUGAAGCGCCGGCUAACUACGUGCCAGCAACCGCGGUGAUACGUAGGGCGCGAGCGAUGUCCGGAAUUAUUGGGCGUAAAGGGCUUGUAGGCGGCUGGUCACGUCUGCCGUGAAAUUCUCCGGCUCAACCGGGGGCUUGCGGAGGGUACGGGCCG
rnacentral:rRNA from 1 species